AACGUUUCGAAAGGAACGCUAAUACCGCAUACGUCCUACGGAGAAAGCAGGGACCUUCGGGCCUUGCGCUAUCAGAUGAGCCUAGGUCGGAUUAGCUAGUUGGUGAGGUAAUGGCUCACCAAGGCGACGAUCCGUAACUGGUCUGAGAGGAUGAUCAGUCACACUGGAACUGAGACACGGUCCAGACUCCUACGGGAGGCAGCAGCU
rnacentral:rRNA from 1 species